rnacentral:rRNA from 1 species
CCUACGGGCGGCAGCAGUAGGGAAUCUUUCACAAUGGGCGAAAGCCUGAUGGAGCAACGCCGCGUGCAGGAUGAAGGCCUUCGGGUUGUACACUGCUUUUAUAAGCGAGAAAUAUGAUGGUAACUUAUGAAUAAGGAUCGGCUAACUACGUGCCAGCAGCCGCAGUCAUACGUAGGAUCCGAGCAUUAUCCGGAGUGACUGGGUGUAAAGAGUUGCGUAGGUGGCAUAAUAAGUAGCUAGUGAAAUCUGGUGGCUCAACCAUUCAGACUAUUAGCUAAACUGUUAAGCUCGAGACCGUUAGGGGUAACUGGAAUUUCUAGUGUAGGAGUGAAAUCCGUAGAUAUUAGAAGGAACACCAAUAGCGUAGGCAGGUUGCUGGGACGGUUCUGACACUAAGGCACGAAAGCGUAGGGAGCAAACGGGAUUAGAUACCCUUGUAGUC